AAUGCACCAUUGAAGUUGGAUGCCAACCGCCGUUAAACAUCAAGGAAGAAGAAGAAGAAGGUAAAAUGAUGGAAGGAAACCGGGACGAGGCUGAAAAAUGUUUGAAUAUCGCUAUCAAAGCCCUUGAGGAUGGCAAUAAAGACAAGGCUUUGAAAUUCCUCAACAAAGCAGAAAAGCUCUAUCCAACCGAGAAAGCAAAAGCUUUAGCCGGUGUUAUGGAUCAACUGGGGAUCGUGUUAACUGGGGAUGUGCGCGUGCAUGUGAGCUAUUUUA